CCUAGUGGCAAUGGCGGAGGGGAAACACCCGUUCCCAUCCCGAACACGGAAGUUAAGCCCUCCAGCGCCGAUGGUAGUUGGGGCCAGCGCCCCUGCAAGAGUAGGUCGCUGCUAGGC
rnacentral:rRNA from 2 species